rnacentral:rRNA from 1 species
UACGGAGGGUGCGAGCGUUGUCCGGAAUCACUGGGCGUAAAGGGCGCGUAGGUGGUGACCUAAGCGUGCGGUGAAAGCCCGAGGCUCAACCUCGGGUCGGCCGUGCGAACUGGGUCACUGGAGCAGAAUAGAGGCAGGUGGAAUUCCGGGUGUAGCGGUGGAAUGCGUAGAGAUCCGGAAGAACACCGGUGGCGAAGGCGGCCUGCUGGGCAGUUGCUGACACUGAGGCGCGACAGCGUGGGGAGCAAACAGG